UACAUCUCACAUGUUACAAUAUUUCUUGCCGUUUCCCUGACUGAAAGAGUUGCCCUUACCUGCGAUGGUUGGACAUCGAGAGCCACUGAGUCUUAUGUUACGAUCACGUCGCACCACAUCGAUCAGGAGUGGAAACUUAUUUCUCAUGUGUUGCAGACGAGGGCAAUGCAUGAGAGCCAUACUGGCAGUAACAUCGCCGAGCUGUUGAAACGUGCAUUGGAGGAAUGGGACAUAACAAGCAAGGACCCAGCCAUAGUCACUGACAAUGCGUCAAACAUGACCAUCGCAGCGCAGCUAGGUGGUAUGCUACAUUUCGCGCACACCUUAAAUCUGGCUUCACAGCGCGCGCUGAAGCUAACACCAGUCGCACGGUUGCUCAGAAGAGUGAGACAAAUAACCAGCUUUUUCAGACGCAGCACCACAGCCAGCCAUGUUCUGCGUGAAAAACAAAAGCUGCUAAAUCUGCCUCAACACAAAUUGGUAGCUGACGUUGUUACCAGAUGGAACAGUGCUCAUGACAUGCUGCAGCGCUUCCUAGAGCAACAGCCAGCCAUCCAUGCUGCCCUCCUCUCAGCUGAGGUGAGGAAGACAGAGAAGGAGAUCUGCACCUUAAGCGAGUCAGACAUAACAGCUGCUGAAGAAGUAGUCACUGCUAUGAAGCCCAUGAAGGUAGCUACACUUGUUAUGUCACAGGAGACAACUCCAACACUAUCAGUUGUAGCACCACUCCAUGCCCAGCUGAUCCAUGAUCUACAAGACAGUCCAACUGAUUCCAACUUGACAAGGGAAAUCAAAUCUUCUGUAUGCCAGGAUCUUAAAAAGAGAAGACCAACGCCAGGACAUCUGUGCUAGAAUCAUCACAGAAGCUGCAAGGAGCAAGGGGGCAUUUCAGCAGAGUGAGACUGGAGUGGAGACAGGAGAGACAGAGACUGAUGUGAAUGUAUUGCCAGAAGACGACGAGGACAGCAAUCAAGGUCCUGUGCAAGAAGACAUCUCUGCAGUACCGUUCAAGAGAUCCAGGCAUUCUUGCUCUCUAGCUGACCUACUUGGUCAAACAUAUGCUGCAGGUGCUGCAAAGAAGUUGAAAACCGCAGAGGACCAGGCAAAGGAGGAGAUGGCAAGAUACAAGGAGGAAGCUCCCCUGCCACUUGUGAACAAUCCACUGGACUGGUGGAAAGAUCAUCAGAGCGAGUAUCCUCUCUUGUCACACGUUGCAAAGAGAUACCUGUGUAUCCCGGGGACUAGCGUCUCUUCGGAGAGAGUUUUUUCUACUGCAGGGGACAUGAUCACAGCACAGAGGAGUGCACUUUCCCCAGACCAUCUUGAUCAGAUUCUGUUCCUAAACAAAAAUCUGAAAAAUUAGGCCUGCCAAUGUAUCCAUCCAAGGGUUGGACUACAUGUUCUAUGUUUACAUCAUACUGACUAUAUGUUCUAUUUAUUUUGUUUAUAUAGGGUUAUAUAUAUUUAAUAUUGUAUACUAUAUAUAUUUAAUGUGAUGUUUUGCCAUAAUUCUCUGCUCUCAGGUUAUUACAGUUAUAUUAUUAUGUUUAAUCAAAUGCUGCGCAGUGUCCAGCACAGUUGAUUGUUGCUACAUAACUAUUAUGCAUGCAGAUAUUUAUAUCAAUAAUCUUUUUAGUUUAUGUCUAUGUUGUACAUUUCAGUUCAUUGUGUUAAGUACCUGUGCAUAAGCACUUUAUUUUCUUGUUUUAAAUGUCAGAUUGUCCACU